rnacentral:rRNA from 1 species
GAAACUUGAGCUAAUACCGGAUACGCCCCUCUUUGGUGACAUUGAGGGGGAAAGAUUUAUCGCCGAUGGAGCGGCCCGCGUCCGAUUAGCUUGUUGGUGAGGUAAAAGCUCACCAAGGCGACGAUCGGUAGCUGGUUUGAGAGAACGAUCAGCCACACUGGGACUGAGACACGGCCCAGACUCCUACGGGAGGCAGCAGUGGGGAAUCUUGGACAAUGGGGGCAACCCUGAUCCAGCCAUGCCGCGUGAGUGAUGAAGGCCCUAGGGUUGUAAAACUCUUUCGGCGGGGACGAUAAUGACGGUACCCGCAGAAGAAGCUCCGGCUAACUUCGUGCCAGCAGCCGCGGUAAUACGAAGGGGGCUAGCGUUGUUCGGAAUUACUGGGCGUAAAGCGCGCGCAGGCGGUUUUCCAAGUCAGAGGUGAAAGCCCAGAGCUCAACUCUGGAACUGCCUUUGAAACUGGAAAACUAGGGUACGGGAGAGGUGAGUGGAAUUCCGAGUGUAGAGGUGAAAUUCGUAGAUAUUCGGAAGAACACCAGUGGCGAAGGCGGCUCACUGGCCCGUUACCGACGCUCAGGCGCGACAGCGUGGGGAGCAAA